rnacentral:rRNA from 1 species
CAGCCGCCGCGGUAAGACGGAGGAGGCUAGCAUUGUCCGGAAUUAUUGGGCGUAAAGAACACGUAGGCGGUUUGUCAAGUCAUUUGUGAAAACCUUAGGCUUAACUUAAGGAUUGCAGAUGAUACUGGUAAACUAGAGUACAGCAGAGGAAAGCGGAAUUCCUGGUGUAGCGGUGAAAUGCGCAGAUAUCAGGAAGAACACCAGUGGCGAAAGCGGCUUUCUGGACUGUUACUGACGCUGAGGUGUGAAAGCUAGGGGAGCGAACAGGAUUAGAUACCCUGGUAGUCCUAGCCGUAAACGAUGGACACUAGGUGUGGGGAGUUAUCGACGCUCUCUGUGCCGAAGCUAACGCAUUAAGUGUCCCGCCUGGGGAGUACGGUCGCAAGACUAAAACUCAAAGGAAUUGACGGGGGCCCGCACAAGCGGCGGAGCAUGUGGCUUAAUUCGACGCAACGCGAAGAACCUUACCAAGGCUUGACAUCAUAUUGAUAAGUACAGAAAUGUACCUCCUUCGGGCAGUAUGACAGGAGGUGCAUGGCC